AAUCAUCAACCUUUAAUGCCUUGUGCAUCGAAGGCUUGGACUUGGAGGGCCAUGCCGGCGCGAGUCGGCUCCUCUGGAAUGCAUUAGCUGGACUAUGGGUCUGGUUGCGCGGUGUGAUAAUUAUCUGCAUCGUCUGCCUCUCCGCGGAUCAGCUUCGAACCGUCUCCUGUGGAGACAAAAUUCAUUGACCU
rnacentral:misc_RNA from 1 species